rnacentral:rRNA from 1 species
GGGUUGUGAGGUUAAGCGACUAAGCGUACACGGUGGAUGCCCUGGCAGUCAGAGGCGAUGAAGGACGUGCUAAUCUGCGAAAAGCGCCGGURAGGUGAUAUGAACCGUUAUAACCGGCGAUGUCCGAAUGGGGAAACCCAGUGUGACUCGUCACACUAUCAUUAACUGAAUCCAUAGGUUAAUGAGGCGAACCGGGAGAACUGAAACAUCUAAGUACCCCGAGGAAAAGAAAUCAACCGAGAUUCCCCAAGUAGCGGCGAGCGAACGGGGAAGAGCCCAGAGUCUGAAUCAGCAGGUGUGUUAGUGGAACGGUCCGGAAUGGCCGGCGAUACAGGGUGAAAGCCCCGUACACGAAAGCGCACCYGUUGUGAGCUCGAUGAGUAGGGCGGGACACGUGGUAUCCUGUCUGAAUAUGGGGGGACCAUCCUCCAAGGCUAAAUACUCCUGACUGACCGAUAGUGAACCAGUACCGUGAGGGAAAGGCGAAAAGAACCCCGGCGAGGGGAGUGAAAAAGAACCUGAAACCGUGUACGUACAAGCAGUGGGAGCCCCACCACCAAAGCGUUUCGCUUUGCGUGGUGCGCAAAAUGCGUAACGACAGCGCGACUGACGGUUAACGGAGCGUAAGCGACGUUCAACUUAAAAAUCAGGCAGUGGAGCGUUUUGGGGUGGGGUGACUGCGUACCUUUUGUAUAAUGGGUCAGCGACUUAUAUUCUGUAGCAAGGUUAACCG